rnacentral:rRNA from 1 species
UACGGAGGGUGCGAGCGUUGUCCGGAAUCAUUGGGCGUAAAGGGCGCGUAGGUGGCCCGGUCAGUCUUUGGUGAAAGCGCGGGGCUCAACCCUGCGUCGGCCAGGGAUACUGCCGCGGCUCGAGCACUGUAGAGGCAGGCGGAAUUCCGGGUGUAGCGGUGGAAUGCGUAGAGAUCCGGAAGAACACCGGUGGCGAAGGCGGCCUGCUGGGCAGUGCUGACACUGAGGCGCGACAGCGUGGGGAGCAACAGGG